rnacentral:lncRNA from 1 species
AUGAAGUUGAUCAACCCAAUGAAAGACCUAAAUUUUCAGUUGCCUUGGGGGAAGCAUGAGAAGGCGACCCCUGAACCGCUAGCACCGGAGGCCGCUCCAACCGUGCCGACUCCCGAACUGCCACCACCAUCUCCCAAGAAGUUGGCACCAGCUCAUACGAGACCACCUGCUCACAAGAAAAAAACAGCAGCGCCCAAGAAAGCAAUACCAUUGCCCAAGAAAGCAAUACCAUCGCCCAAGAAAGCAAUACCAUCGCCCAAGAAAGCAAUACCAGCACCCAAGAAAACAAUACCAGCGCCCAAGAAAACAAUACCAGCGCCCAAGAAAAUAAAACCAGUGCCCAAGAAAACUGCAGCAGCACCCAAGAAAACAAUACCAGCACCCAAGAAAGCAAUACCAGCGCCCAAGAAAACAAUACCAGCGCCCAAGAAAACAAUACCAGCGCCCAAGAAAACAAAACCAUCACCCAAGAAAGCAAUACCAGUGCCCAAGAAAACAAUACCAUCACCCAAGAAAGCAAUACCAGUGCCCAAGAAAACAAUACCAUCACCCAAGAAAGCAAUACCAGUGCCCAAGAAAACAAUACCAGCACCCAAGAAAACAAUACCAGUGCCCAAGAAAAUACCAGUGCCCAAGAAAAUACCAGCGCCCAAGAAAACAAAACCAGUGCCCAAGAAAACAAAACCAGUGCCCAAGAAAGCAAUACCAGCGCCCAAGAAAACAAUACCAGCGCCCAAGAAAACAAUACCAGCGCCCAAGAAAACAAUACCAGCGCCCAAGAAAACACAACCAUCACCCAAGAAAGCAAUACCAGCGCCCAAGAAAAUAAAACCAGUGCCCAAGAAAACUGCAGCAGCACCCAAGAAAACAAUACCAGCACCCAAGAAAGCAAUACCAGUGCCCAAGAAAACAAUACCAUCACCCAAGAAAGCAAUACCAGUGCCCAAGAAAACUGCAGCAGUGCCUAAAACAAUACUAGCACCCAAGAAAAAAACAGCAGCGCCCAAGAAAACAAUACCAGCACCCAAGAAAGCAAUACCAGUACCCAAGAAAACUGCAGCAGUGCCUAAGAAAACAAUACCAGUGCCCAAGAAAACUACAGUACCACGUAAGAAAAACCCAGCAGCGCCCUAG